rnacentral:rRNA from 1 species
AAAAUGUCUGAGAUGUGACACGGAGCCGUAUUGGUGAAGUGGGUGAUCCUAUGCUGUCGAGAAAAACCUCUAGCGAGCUAUGCGCCGCCCGUACCCCAAACCGACUCAGGUGAUCAGGUAGAGAAUACCAAGGCGAUCGAGAUAACCAUGGUUAAGGAACUCGGCAAAAUGCCCCCGUAACUUCGGGAGAAGGGGGGCCCGGAGCGUGUACCCACUUGCUGGGGAAGCGUGAAGGGCCGCAGAGACCAGGCCCAAGCGACUGUUUUACUAAAAACACAGGUCCGUGCGAAGUUGUAAGACGAUGUAUACGGACUGACUCCUGCCCGGUGCUGGAAGGUUAAGAGGACGGGUUAGACGUAAGUCGAAGCUCAGAAUUUAAGCCCCAGUAAACGGCGGUGGUAACUAUAACCAUCCUAAGGUAGCGAAAUUCCUUGUCGGCUAAGUUCCGACCUGCACGAAUGGAGUAACGACUUGGGCGCUGUCUCAACCAUGGACUCGGCGAAAUUGCACUACGAGUAAAGAUGCUCGUUACGCGCGGCAGGACGGAAAGACCCCGGGACCUUUACUAUAGUUUGGUAUUGGUGUUUGGUUCGGCUUGUGUAGGAUAGGUGGGAGACUUUGAAGCAGCCACGCCAGUGGUUGUGGAGUCAUCGUUGAAAUACCACUCUGGUCGUACUAGAUGUCUAACCUAGGUCCGUUAUCCGGAUCAGGGACAGUGCCUGAUGGGUAGUUUAACUGGGGCGGUUGCCUCCUAAAAUGUAACGGAGGCGCUCAAAGGUUCCCUCAGCCUGGUUGGCAAUCAGGUGUUGAGUGUAAGUGCACAAGGGAGCUUGACUGUGAGACAGACAUGUCGAGCAGGGACGAAAGUCGGAACUAGUGAUCCGGCCACGGCAUGUGGAAGCGUGGUCGCUCAACGGAUAAAAGAUACCCCGGGGAUAACAGGCUGAUCUUCCCCAAGAGUCCAUAUCGACGGGAUGGUUUGGCACCUCGAUGUCGGCUCGUCGCAUCCUGGGGCUGGAGUAGGUCCCAAGGGUUGGGCUGUUCGCCCAUUAAAGCGGCACGCGAGCUGGGUUUAGAACGUCGUGAGACAGUUCGGUCCCUAUCCGCCGCGCGCGCAGGAAACUUGAGAAGGGCUGUCCCUAGUACGAGAGGACCGGGAUGGACUAACCUCAGGUGUGCCAGUUGUCCCGCCAGGGGCACGGCUGGUUGGCUACGUUCGGAAGUGAUAACCGCUGAAUGCAUCUAAGCGGGAAGCACGUUUCAAGAUGAGGUUUCCCACCAGGUUAACUGGGUAAGGCCCCCCACAGACUAUGGGGUUGAUAGGCCGGAGGUGUACAGCAGUAAUGCCCAGCCGACCGGUACUAAUAGGCCGAGGGCUUGUCUC